rnacentral:lncRNA from 1 species
GCAAACUUGCAUCAACAAUCCGUAGUAGUACGCGAGGCGCCACUUCUCAUAACGAUCACAGGAAGAACACCCACGGCAUCCUGCUCUGCAUCACACGGAAAUAACAACACAGGGGCUUCAGGCACUGCGCGCGCUCAAGCGGCGAGAUGGAUGUAAUGGCGAUGCUGUGUGGUGUGGUUACCAUACCAGUCGACGACGAGGAAGCAGACGAUGUAUGAUCUCUCGAGAAGAAUUUGCUUGCGGACGAUGAGCAAGCAGAGGAGAUUGGAGGAGAGCAGGGGACAGACAGGGAAGAGAGAGGCGAUGAAAUCUGCUGGAC